rnacentral:rRNA from 1 species
ACACGAGCGGCGGACGGCUGAGUAACGCGUAGGAACGUACCCCAAAGUGAGGGAUAAGCACCAGAAAUGGUGUCUAAUACCGCAUGUGGUCUUCGGAUUAAAGCUUCGGCGCUUUGGGAGCGGCCUGCGUAUGAUUAGUUUGUUGGUGAGGUAAUGGCUCACCAAGGCUUCGAUCAUUAGCUGGUCUGAGAGGAUGAUCAGCCAGACUGGGACUGAGAACGGCCCAGACUCC